GUGUGUGUGUGUGUGUGUGUGUGUGUGUGUGCGUGUGCGUUUGCGUGUGUUCGUUUCCCCGAAAACACGUUACCCGCGCUGAGAGGGGCGGCUGAGAGUCAAACCGAUUCAGCUCACUUCCUCAUAAGUUUGUCGCAGCUUGGAGCCUUUCUUUCUCCGCUUUUUAAACCUUUCACCUGAUUAACUUUUUUAUCAGUUUCUUCCCUUACAUUUAUACUUGUAUUACUUUAUACCGUAUGGACGCAUUUUAAUCCCGGAAUAGUUACGAUAAGGUCUCCAGUCUACUAUGGAUGAGGAGAGAGAAGAGGGGGGUCCUACCUCUAAGACCACUCUGUCUGGGGAACAUGGCCGCCGGAGCAAAGCUAAGAGCCCAGAGAAGCAGGAGAGAGCAGACUCCCCUGGACCCAGCUGUGUCUCCAUGAAGAGUGGCUGGUCUAUGGAUCCACCUAUUAGUUUUAAAGAUGGAAAUCAGUCUAUCAAGAAGAGAGUCCAGCAGGAGAGAGCAGACUCCCCUGGACCCAGCUGUGUCUCCAUGAAGAGUGGCUGCUCUAUGGAUAUACCAUUGUUGUUUAAAGAUGGACGCCCCUCCAGAGAGGAGAGCCCAGAGCAGCAGCAGAGAGCAGACUCCCCUGGACCCAGCUGUGUCUCUAUGAAGAGUGACCGCUCUAUGGAUGUACCAUUGGUGUUUAAAGAUGGACGUCCCUCCAGAGAGGAGAGACACCAGAUGACGUCAAAGGUUACCAGUGCUCAGUCUCUGCAACAUCAAACAGAGC